AAAGUUUCAUCUAUGGGGUACCCAGCCCCUUAGAUGGAGGCGGUGGGCCUGGCUUCUCCUUGGGGUGUAAAGUAGCUUCUUCGUAUGGUAGAAAGUAAGAGGCAGCCAGGCAGGAAUCAGGAAGCUCAGAGACACAAAGGGACUUGACCAAGGAUGCACAGCAGACCAGCACGUUCCAGAAUUCCAGCUUUGUUAUUCCAUGUUCUUGAAUGGGUUCGAGACCUCACGUUACAGAUGGGAAGACUGAGGCCCAGCCACCAGAGGCAGAACCCUGGGGCUUGCUCACCAGUUCUCCUGGGCCUGUCGCAUGGGUCGUGGACACCAAGGCUGG
rnacentral:lncRNA from 1 species